GCUCAGUUGGUAAAGCACAAAGUUCUUAACCUUGUGUACGUGGGUUCAAGCCCCAU
rfam:Triticum aestivum genome assembly, contig: Triticum_aestivum_CS42_TGACv1_scaffold_020125_1AS